AUGCUUACCUAGUAGGGGAGAUGCCAGUGUUAUGAAGGUGGUUUUUCUAGAGUGAGCCUCACCCAUUACACUUUGGGUGUGCUGACCCCUGUGAUUUCCCCAAAUGUGGGGAAACUUGAUUGCAUUAUUUGUGGUGGUGGGGGCUGUGUUUGUGCUCUCCCCUG